GUGGGGAAUAUUGGACAAUGGGCGAAAGCCUGAUCCAGCCAUGCCGCGUGUGUGAAGAAGGUCUUCGGAUUGUAAAGCACUUUAAGUUGGGAGGAAGGGCAGUAAGUUAAUACCUUGCUGUUUUGACGUUACCGACAGAAUAAGCACCGGCUAACUUCGUGCCAGCAGCCGCGGUAAUACGAAGGGUGCAAGCGUUAAUCGGAAUUACUGGGCGUAAAGCGCGCGUAGGUGGUUUUGUAAGUUGGAGGUGAAAUGCCCGAGCUCAACCUAGGAACUGCCUCCAAAACUGCAUGACUAGAGUACGGUAGAGGGUAGUGGAAUUUCCUGUGUAGCGGUGAAAUGCGUAGAUAUAGGAAGGAACACCAGUGGCGAAGGCGACUACCUGGACUGAUACUGACACUGAGGUGCGAAAGCGUGGGGAGCAAACAGGAUUAGAAACCCUUGUAGUCC
rnacentral:rRNA from 1 species